UGGGGAAUAUUGGACAAUGGGCGAAAGCCUGAUCCAGCCAUGCCGCGUGUGUGAAGAAGGCCUUAUGGUUGUAAAGCACUUUAAGCGAGGAGGAGGGUACUGGUAUUAAUACUACCAGGUACUGGACGAUACUCGCAGAAUAAGCACCGGCUAACUCUGUGCCAGCAGCCGCGGUAAUACAGAGGGUGCGAGCGUUAAUCGGAUUUACUGGGCGUAAAGCGUGCGUAGGCGGCUAAUUGAGUCGGAUGUGAAAUCCCCGAGCUUAACUUGGGAAUUGCAUUCGAUACUGGUUAGCUAGAGUGUGGGAGAGGAUGGUAGAAUUCCAGGUGUAGCGGUGAAAUGCGUAGAGAUCUGGAGGAAUACCGAUGGCGAAGGCAGCCAUCUGGCCUAACACUGACGCUGAGGUACGAAAGCAUGGGGAGCAAACAGG
rnacentral:rRNA from 1 species